rnacentral:sRNA from 1 species
UCAGCUGGUACUCCUGGUUAAUCAACAGCUUCGUCAACGGGGUCUAUGCCUUCGGUUUCCUCUUCAUGUUGCCCCAGCUCUUUGUGAACUACAAGGUAAGGCGGUGUGUGCUGCCCGCAGCCCGGCCCCCGUCUCCUGUGCUGCCCACAGCUGACCUGUGCCUGUCUUUCCUGUUUCAGUUGAAGUCAGUGGCACAUUUGCCCUGGAAGGCUUUCACCUACAAGGCUUUCAACACCUUCAUUGAUGACGUUUUUGCCUUCAUCAUCACCAUGCCCACGUCUCACCGGCUGGCCUGCUUCCGGGACGACGUGGUGUUUCUGGUCUACCUGUACCAGCGGUGG